GACAGAUUGGGAAUAUGGUUUAAAAGAGUAGUAUCUUAAGAUAAAAAGAGCGAAUGGGUGAAGAGAACUUUAAAUUCCGGGAUAAAAUUCUUAAAUUUGAAAGACUUACUAACUUCACUCCUAAUCUCCUUAAUUUAAAGAUUAAAGUUUAGGUAGCAAAAGGGAUUAGAUACCCGUGUAGUCCGGCUGACUGACU
rnacentral:rRNA from 1 species